rnacentral:rRNA from 1 species
UACGUAGGGUCCGAGCGUUGUCCGGAAUUAUUGGGCGUAAAGGGCUCGUAGGCGGUCUGUUGCGUCGGGAGUGAAAAUUCACAGCUUAACUGUGAACUUGCUUCCGAUACGGGCAGACUUGAGGUAUUCAGGGGAGAACGGAAUUCCUGGUGUAGCGGUGAAAUGCGCAGAUAUCAGGAGGAACACCGGUGGCGAAGGCGGAUCUCUGGGCCGAUACUGACGCUGAGGAGCGAAAGCGUGGGGAGCGAACAGG